rnacentral:rRNA from 1 species
AGUGAACGCUGGCGGUAGGCCUAACACAUGCAAGUCGAACGGCAGCACAGUAAGAGCUUGCUCUUACGGGUGGCGAGUGGCGGACGGGUGAGGAAUACAUCGGAAUCUACUUUUUCGUGGGGGAUAACGUAGGGAAACUUACGCUAAUACCGCAUACGACCUACGGGUGAAAGCAGGGGAUCUUCGGACCUUGCGCGAUUGAAUGAGCCGAUGUCGGAUUAGCUAGUUGGCGGGGUAAAGGCCCACCAAGGCGACGAUCCGUAGCUGGUCUGAGAGGAUGAGCACCCGCAGUGGAGCGGAUACGCCGCCCGGCCUCCUACGGGAGCCGCAGGGGGGGAAUUUUGGACGAGGGGCCCAGGCCUGCUCCCGCCAUCCCGCGGGGGUGAAGAGGCCCUUCGGUUGGUAAGCCCUUUUUGUUGGGAAAAAACACCAGCGGGUUAAUCCCCCGCUGUUCUGACGGCCCCCAAAAAAAAACCCCCGGCUAACUUCGUC